rnacentral:rRNA from 1 species
UACAGAGGUCUCGAGCGUUAGGCGGAAUCACUGGGCUUAAAGCGUGUGUAGGCGGAUUGGUAAGUACCUUGUGAAAUCCCACGGCUUAACCGUGGAACUGCUUGGUAUACUGCCUGUCUUGAGCCAGCUAGGGGCGACCGGAACAAAUGGUGGAGCGGUGAAAUGCGUAGAUAUCGGGAGGAACACCAGUGGCGAAGGUGACUACCUGGCCUGUUCUUGACGCUGAGGCGCGAAAGCUAGGGGAGCAAACGGG